rnacentral:rRNA from 1 species
UACGUAGGGUGCAAGCGUUGUCCGGAAUUAUUGGGCGUAAAGAGCUCGUAGGCGGUUUGUUGCGUCGGCUGUGAAAUCCCGAGGCUCAACCUCGGGUCUGCAGUCGAUACGAGCAAACUAGAGUGUUGCAGGGGAGACUGGAAUUCCUGGUGUAGCGGUGAAAUGCGCAGAUAUCAGGAGGAACACCGGUGGCGAAGGCGGGUCUCUGGGCCGAUACUGACGC